rnacentral:rRNA from 1 species
UGCCAGCAGCCGCGGUAAGACGAACCGUCCGAACGUUAUUCGGAAUUACUGGGCGUAAAGGGUGCGUAGGCGGUGCUGUAAGUCGGGUGUGAAAUCCCACAGCUCAACUGUGGAACUGCGCCCGAUACUGCAGUGCUAGAGGGAGACAGAGGUAAGCGGAACUGAUGGUGGAGCGGUGAAAUGCGUUGAUAUACAUCAGGAACACCGGUGGCGAAAGCGGCUUACUGGGUCUCUUCUGACGCUGAGGAAGCAAGCCCAGGGUAGAGAACGGGAUUAGAUA